CAGUAGCCGCGGGAACACGGAGGGAGCUAGCGUUGUUCGGAAUCACUGGGCGUAAAGCGCACGUAGGCGGCUAUUCAAGUCAGGGGUGAAAGCCCGGGGCUCAACCCCGGAACUGCCUUUGAAACUAGAUAGCUUGAAUCUUGGAGAGGCGAGUGGAAUUCCGAGUGUAGAGGUGAAAUUCGUAGAUAUUCGGAAGAACACCAGUGGCGAAGGCGGCGACCUGGUCCAUUACUGACGCUGAGGCGCGAAAGCGUGGGGAGCAAACAGGAUUAGAUACCCCCGUAGUCCCUGUCUCUUAUAC
rnacentral:rRNA from 1 species